rnacentral:misc_RNA from 1 species
GAUGAAGAACGUAGUGAAAUGCGAUAAGUAAUGUGAAUUGCAGAAUUCAGUGAAUCAUCGAAUCUUUGAACGCAUCUUGCGCUCCUUGGUAUUCUGAGGAGCAUGCCUGUUUGAGUGUCAUUAAAUUCUCAACUACACUGACUUUGAAUUGGUGUGGCUUGGAUUUGGGGGGAAAAUUGUUGUGGGCUUUUUGUAUAGUCUGCUCCCCUGAAAUUGAUUAGCGGUACCUUUGUGGAACUGUCUACAGGUGUGAUAAUUAUCUACAUCUUAGACAUCUGCUGGAAUGCUGCUUUCUAAACCUUACUUGUAUUGACAAUCUUGACCUCAAAUCAGGUAGGGCUACCCGCUGAACUUAAGCAUAUCAAUAAGCGGAGGA